rnacentral:misc_RNA from 1 species
UCAGACUUUGUAGCAAGGAUG